CUUCGGGAGCACCGGCGGACUGCUCAGUAACACGUGGACAACCUACCCUCGGGUGGGGGAUAACCUCGGGAAACUGAGGCUAAUACCCCAUAGGCCUCGGAUACUGGAAGGUUCCGAGACCGAAAGCUCCGGCGCCCGAGGAUGGGUCUGCGGCCUAUCAGGUAGUUGGUGGUGUAAAGGACCACCAAGCCUACGACGGGUACGGGCCCUGAGAGGGGGAGCCCGGAGAUGGACUCUGAGACACGAGUCCAGGCCCUACGGGGCGCAGCAGGCGCGAAACCUUCGCAAUGCGCGAAAGCGCGACGAGGGGAGCCCGAGUGCCCUUCCUUUCGGGAGGGCUUUUCUGGAGCCUAAAAAGCUCCAGGAAUAAGGGCUGGGCAAGACG
rnacentral:rRNA from 1 species